rnacentral:rRNA from 1 species
CGAACGCUGGCGGCGCGCUUAAGCAUGCAAGUCGAACGGCAAGGCAGGUGCUUGCACCUGCCCUAGAGUGGCGGACUGGCGAGUAACACGUGGGUGACAUGCCUUUAGUUGGGGAUAGCUACUAGAAAUAGUAGAUAAUACCGAAUGUGAUCAAUAUUUAUAGAUGAUGUUGAGGAAAGGAGCUAAGGCUUCGCUAAAAGAUUGGCCCGCGGCCCAUUAGCUAGUUGGUAGGGUAAAGGCUUACCAAGGCGAUGAUGGGUAUCCGACCUGAGAGGGUGAUCGGACACAUUGGGACUGAGAUACGGCCCAGACUCCUACGGGAGGCAGCAGCUAAGAAUAUUCCACAAUGGACGAAAGUCUGAUGGAGCGACGCCGCGUGGAUGAAUGAAGGCCGAAAGGUUGUAAAAUCCUUUUACACUGGAGGAAUAAGCAGAGUAGGGAAUGACUCUGUGAUGACUGUACAGUUUGAAUAAGCAACGGCUAAUUACGUGCCAGCCGCCGC